rnacentral:rRNA from 1 species
GAGGGAAAGUUGAAAAGAACUUUGAAGAGAGAGUUAAAAAGGGCGUGAAACCGCUUAGAAUAAAACGGACGGAGCCGUUAGUGGCCUUCCGGAAUCAGUCGUAUGAUAGCGGAAACGUGUUUCCCCAGAGCGAAAGUCUGGCGGGCGCGGUCGAGUUCGUAUUCAUUCGAUGCAUUUCCGGAGGGUAAGCGUCACGACCGAUGCGAAAGGCUAGCGAAACUAGCGAAUUGAGGUCGAAACCCCUCGCGGGUAUUCGUAACCAGUUCGUUGGUCUAUAGUCGUUAGACCGCAGUAGCAUCGAGCGCAGAGAAUAAAGAACGCCGGCGAAAGGCGGUCAUUUAAGCGACGGAUAGUCGACGGAUUAUUCGACGCCUGCUCGCAGGUUUCGUUUAUUCCCGUUCGGUUUUGAAAUCGCGAAUGACUUUAGGCGUUCUGGCGUCAGUGGCGUCCGAGACGGUCAACCGUCCGACCCGUCUUGAAACACGGACCAAGGAGUCUAACGUAUGCGCAAGCUAAUGAGUAGAAAACUCAUAAGCGUAAUAAAAGUGAAAGCCGUUUCCGACGGCGCGGGGUACGAUCCUUCGGUACUGGUUACCUUAGGCGCAGUACCAUCCCGUCCCGAUCGCUUGUCGAUAGGGCGGAGAUUGAGUGUAUACGUUGGGACCCGAAAGAUGGUGAACUAUGCCUGAGCAGAGCGAAGCCAGAGGAAACUCUGGUGGAGGUUCGUAGCGGUUCUGACGUGCAAAUCGAUCGUCAGACUUGGG